rnacentral:rRNA from 1 species
UACGAAGGGUGCAAGCGUUAAUCGGAAUUACUGGGCGUAAAGGGUGCGUAGGCGGUUUGUUAAGUCUGUUGUGAAAUCCCCGGGCUCAACCUGGGAAUGGCAAUGGAUACUGGCAAGCUAGAGUGUGUCAGAGGAUGGUGGAAUUCCCGGUGUAGCGGUGAAAUGCGUAGAGAUCGGGAGGAACAUCAGUGGCGAAGGCGGCUUCCUGGACUAAAACUGACACUGAGGCACGAAAGCGUGGGUAGCAAACAGG